rnacentral:rRNA from 1 species
UACAGAGGGGGCAAGCGUUAUUCGGAAUUAUUGGGCGUAAAGGGCGCGUAGGCGGCUUUUUAAGUCAGAUGUGUAAUCCCCGAGCUCAACUUGGGAACUGCAUCUGAGGCUGGGAGGCUAGAGUGCUGGAGAGGGUGGUGGAAUUCCUCGUGUAGCGGUGAAAUGCGUAGAGAUGAGGAGGAACACCAGUGGCGAAGGCGGCCACCUGGACAGUAACUGACGCUGAGGCGCGAAAGUGUGGGUAGCAAACAGG